rnacentral:rRNA from 1 species
AGAGUUUGAUCCUGGCUCAGAGCGAACGCUGGCGGCAUGCUUAACACAUGCAAGUCGCACGGUAUGGGGGCAACUCCAUGCAGUGGCGGACGGGUGAGUAACGCGUAGGAAUCUAUCCUUGGAUGGGGGACAACCGUGGGAAACUACGGCUAAUACCGCAUGAUGCCUGAGGGCCAAAGCUCGCGAGAGCGUCUGGGGAGGAGCCUGCGUCUGAUUAGGUAGUUGGUGGGGUAAAGGCCUACCAAGCCUGCGAUCAGUAGCUGGUCUGAGAGGAUGAUCAGCCACAUUGGGACUGAGACACGGCCCAAACUCCUACGGGAGGCAGCAGUGGGGAAUAUUGGACAAUGGGGGCAACCCUGAUCCAGCAAUGCCGCGUGGGUGAAGAAGGUUUUCGGAUUGUAAAGCCCUUUUGGCGGGGACGAUGAUGACGGUACCCGCAGAAUAAGCUCCGGCUAACUUCGUGCCAGCAGCCGCGGUAAUACGAAGGGGGCUAGCGUUGCUCGGAAUGACUGGGCGUAAAGGGCGCGUAGGCGGCUUGCAUAGUUAGGCGUGAAAUUCCUGGGCUCAACCUGGGGACUGCGUCUAAUACAUGCAGGCUUGAGUGUGAAAGAGGGUCGUGGAAUUUCCAGUGUAGAGGUGAAAUUCGUAGAUAUUGGAAAGAACACCGGUGGCGAAGGCGGCGACCUGGUUCAUUACUGACGCUGAGGCGCGAAAGCGUGGGGAGCAAACAGGAUUAGAUACCCUGUAGUCC